AGUGUCCAUAAGCUUCUUGUGACCUGCCAGGGAGCAAGGUAAGCCGGAUGGGGCCUGGGAUUCGAACCUUUCAUUAGCCGCUUGACCAAGCAAGGCUAGGCUAGUUUUCACGGUCAACUAUAAGUACAUAUAAUCACUUAUCUUCUGACCAAUGCAACAAGAUGCAGAAUACUUUCAAAUUGAAGCUUAAUAACAAGGUAAGAAUGCAGAGAACUUAGAAAUUUAAGGGAGCAAAGAGGAAAAAGCCUAACCAGCUGGUGUUAUAAAAUAUCUUUUUAGAGUUAAAUUAAAUUUAUUUUAUCACUAUCUUUAUGUAUUAUAUUGAUAAAAUGGUUGUCUUAGUACAGACAAGAGAUGCAAACGAGACCAUUUUAUUAAUUUACUUGUAACAUUGGUGGGCUCAAUGGAUUUCGUUUCACGUUAUCCAC